rnacentral:rRNA from 1 species
GCAGUUAAAAAGCUCGUAGUUGAACGUUCGGGUUCCGCGGGACGGGGCCGCCCCGCGAGGGACGGCGCCGCCCCGGGGCUCGUGAUAUCUUAUCUCGCCGCCCGUCGCGAGGCGGACGGAGGGAUGGAUGAGGUUACCUGGAAAAAAUCGGGGCGAUCUAGGCGGGCGAACCUCGCCAACGAACGAUCGGACAUGGGAUAACGGAAGAGGGCGUCGGCUCGACUUCGUCGGUUCCUCGGGGCCGAGGCACGUACGGUGAAUAGGGACGGUCGGGGCCGCCCGUACCGGGUCGUGAGAGGUGAAAUUCUAGGAUCGACCCGAGACGAACUGCCGCGAAAGCAUUCGGCAAGGACGCUUUCAUUAAUCAAGAACGAAAGUCGGGGAUCGAAGACGAUCAGAUACCGUCGUAGUCCCGACCGUAAACGAUGCCCUCCCGCGAGAAAUCAGGAGUAUUCGGGUUCCGGGGGGAGUAUGGUCGCAAGGCCGAAACUUAAAGGAAUUGACGGAAGGGCACCACCAGGAGUGGAAUCUGCGGCUUAAUUUGACAACGCGGGAAAACUCACCAGGUCAGG